AAUAGUUAAAGGCUCUGUUAAUGGGACAGGAUCCGAGACUCCUUUCGGGGUUACACAGGCUCUCCUACCCAACUCCUAUUCCGUCACGUCCUCGUCGUACAGAGUGGUAGCUUUCCCCACCGCAUAUCCAAGCUCUGGUACACGGGCCUGUCCCAACCCCUUGAGCUGAUGGUGGAACAAUGCUAAACAGGAGGGA
rnacentral:ribozyme from 1 species